rnacentral:rRNA from 1 species
UACGUAGGGUGCGAGCGUUGUCCGGAAUUAUUGGGCGUAAAGAGCUCGUAGGCGGUUUGUCGCGUCGGCCGUGAAAACUUGGGGCUUAACCCCAAGCCUGCGGUCGAUACGGGCAGACUAGAGUGAUGUAGGGGAGACUGGAAUUCCUGGUGUAGCGGUGAAAUGCGCAGAUAUCAGGAGGAACACCGGUGGCGAAGGCGGAUCUCUGGGCCUUACCUGACGCUCAGGUGCGAAAGCUAGGGGAGCGAACAGG